rnacentral:rRNA from 1 species
UUGGAGGGCAAGUCUGGUGCCAGCAGCCGCGGUAAUUCCAGCUCUAAUAGCGUAUAUUAAAGUUGUUGCAGUUAAAAAGCUCGUAGUUGAAUUUCGGGGUUCUACCGUUGGUCGGGCUAACCAGUCUGUACUAGCGUGUAAAAUUCCUACCUUCUGGAGAACCAUCAUGUUAUUAAUUUAGCGUGGUGGGAAACCAGGACCUUUACCUUGAAAAAAUUAGAGUGUUCAAAGCAGGCUUACGUCUGAAUACAUUAGCAUGGAAUAAUAGAAUAGGACGGUGGUCCUGUUUUGUUGGUUUCUGAAUCACCGUAAUGAUUAAUAGGGAUGGUUGGGGGCAUUAGUAUUCAAUUGUCAGAGGUGAAAUUCUUGGAUUUAUUGAAGACUAACUUCUGCGAAAGCAUAUGCCAAGGAUGUUUUCAUUAAUCAAGAACGAAAGUUAGGGGAUCGAAGACGAUCAGAUACCGUCGUAGUCUUAACCAUAAACUAUGCCGACUAGGGAUCGGACGAUGUUAAAUUUUAUUGACUCGUUCGGCGCCUUACGGGAAAC